AGCAGAAUAUUAAUUUAAUAAUUUUAUAACCCUAAAAAAUACUAUAAUAAUUAUAUAUACUAUAAUAAUUAUACCCCAAAAUAUUAACUAUAAUAAUUAUAUAUAUAUAUAUAUAUAUUAAAUUUUAAAUUUAAUUUUAUACCCCUAAAAAAACUAUAAUAAUUAUACGUAAAAAAUAAAUAGAUUUAAAUCUACAUAAUAAGUAUAUAUAUAUUAUAUAUAUAUAUACACCAUUGAACUUGAUGUGAUAUACGAAACUAAUUUCAACGAUCAAACCGUCAAACUUGUUUGUAUAUGCUUCGAGAUCGCAUACGCCAAAAAUCACAAAAAACAAACAUUCAGAGAUUAAGUAAUGAGACAAAACUUUUCGACGGUUAUAAAACAAAAAAUCACGAUUUAACGGUUAUUUUAACUUCGAUUUUGAUGAUUUUUUACAAGUACACUUGUUGACCCUAUACGAAUACAAUGAAUGAAUUCGAUCAUCAAUUUAAAAUAUUUACACAAGUGGAUACCACAAAAUCUUAUGUUAUACUUAAUGAAAGUAUAAAUAAACUCUAAGUGUUAGUGAAUCUAUCGUUUUGAUGGGAUACAAAUUCUAUGAAACUAAUUUCAACGAUUAAACCGUCAAACUUGUUUGUAUAUGCUUCGAGAUCGCAUACGCCAAAAAUCACAAAAAACAAACAUUCAGAGAUCAAGUAACGAGACAAAACUUUUCGACGGUUAUAAAACAAAAAAUCACGAUUUAACGGUUAUUUUAACUUCGAUUUUGAUGAUUUUUUACAAGUACACUUGUUGACCCUAUACGAAUACAAUGAAUGAAUUCGAUUGUCAAUUUAAAAUAUUUACACACGUAGAUACCACAAAAUUUUAUGUUAUACUAAAUGAAAGUAUAAAUAAACUAAGUGUUAGUGAAUCUAUCGUUUUGAUGGGAUACAAAUUCAAUGAAACUAAUGUCAACGAUCCAACCGUCAAACUUGUUUGUAUAUGCUUCGAGAUCGCAUACGCCAAAAAUCACAAAACAAACAUUCAGAGAUCAAGUAAUGAGACAAAACUUUUCGACGGUUAUAAAACAAAAAAUCACGAUUUAACGGUUAUUUUAACUUCGAUUUUGAUGAUUUUUUUACAAGUACACUUGUUGACCCUAUACGAAUACAAUGAAUGAAUUCGAUCGUCAAUUUAAAAUAUUUACACAAGUGGAUACCACAAAAUCUUAUGUUAUACUAAAUGAAAGUAUAAAUAAACUCUAAGUGUUAGUGAAUCUAUCGUUUUGAUGGGAUACGAAUUCUAUGAAACUAAUUUCAACGAUCAAACCGUCAAACUUGUUUGUAUAUGCUUCGAGAUCGCAUACACCAAAAAUCACAAAACAAACAUUCAGAGAUCAAGUAAUGAGACAAAACUUUUCGACGGUUAUAAAACAAAAAAUCACGAUUUAACGGUUAUUUUAACUUCGAUUUUGAUGAUUUUUUACAAGUACACUUGUUAACCCUAUACGAAUACAAUGAAUGAAUUCGAUCGUCAAUUUAAAAUAUUUACACAAGUGGAUACCACAAAAUCUUAUGUUAUACUUAAUGAAUGUAUAAAUAAACUCCAAGUGUUAGUGAAUCUAUCGUUUUGAUGGGAUACGAAUUCCAUGAAACUAAUUUCAACGAUCAAACCGUCAAACGUAUUUGUAUAUGCUUCGAGAUCGCAUACGCCAAAAAUCACAAAAAACAAACAUUCAGAUAUCAAGUAAUGAGACAAAACUUUUCGACGGUUAUAAAACAAAAAAUCACAAUUUAACGGUUAUUUUAACUUCGAUUUUGAUGAUUUUUUACAAGUACACUUGUUGACCCUAUACGAAUACAAUGAAUGAAUUUGAUCGUCAAUUUAAAAUAUUUACACAAGUGGAUACCACAAAAUCUUAUGUUAUACUUAAUGAAAGUAUAAAUAAACUCUAAGUGUUAGUGAAUCUAUCGUUUUGAUGGGAUACGAAUUCUAUGAAACUAAUUUCAACGAUCAAACCGUCAAACUUGUUUGUAUAUGCUUCGAGAUCGCAUACGCCAAAAAUGACAAAAAACAAACAUUCAGAGAUCAAGUAAUGAGACAAAACUUUUCGACGGUUAUAAAACAAAAAAUCACGAUUUAACGCUUUUUUUAACUUCGAUUUUGAUGAUUUUUUACAAGUACACUUGUUGACCCUAUACGAAUACAAUGAAUGAAUUCGAUCGUCAAUUUAAAAUAUUUACACAAGUGGAUACCACAAAAUCUUAUGUUAUACUUAAUGAAAGUAUAAAUAAACUCUAAGUGUUAGUGGUCUAUUAAGGGGCUUGAAGUCGGUGACUCCGAAGAGCAAAUUAAUUUCCUUAACCAUUCGGCUUGCGAGCCGAAGCUCCAGGAAACUGGGGGGCAAUGUUUGGACCCAAAUUUACACCAUCGGCCCAAGUAAUCGAGGCCGUUGAGUGAGCAUAGCUCUCAACCGUCGGAUCGGAAUAGUUAAGAUAAUUAUUAUUGAAGGAUAUACUGUGGUUUUAAUCAUGAUAUAUCUUUUAAUAAUAUAUCAAUUUAUCUAAACUAAAUAUGAUCAAUAUCACGGUGUUUGUUUGAAAUCAAACUUUGCAUAGGAUAAGGAUGAAAUUGAAAUAGUGAUGGGGUCAAAAUGGCUUUUGGGAUUAGCCAAAGACCUACAAGCUUGCUGUACACGUGGGUUAUCAUUAGCAAUGGCUGAUGAGGUGGCGGCUUUUAAUUUUGCAUGCAGCAAAUAAGGAAUUCUAUUAGGAUUCUAUCUUUGGCUAACGCAUGGAGGAGAUGAUAAUGAUUAUCUAUGGUUCCAUGCAAUUUAGAAAUCUAUCAGGAUACAUGUGAUGACUUCCAGCUGGCCAACGAGUGAUGAGGGGACAAUUAUCCUAAUGCAAUUGCGCGUAUAGGAUAAUCAACAAGAUUAAGUGAUGAUUAUUCUACCUAAUAUUCCAAGAAUCGUGUGAGGGCGAGGCAGUUCAUUCUUAUAAAUACAGAGUCACGGCACAUUGAGGAAGCCCCCACAAAAUCAAUACAAAAUUGCCCUGCGCAAACUCUCACAACUUGUGAUUUUUCUUUUUCCUUUUUCGCUGACACAUCUUCCGUUGGCAUCAACAGCACUGUAGAAGCAACCGGUGAUAUCUUAAGUCGGCAUAGAUAGCUCUGUCACCGUAGAGUCAGUCGGUCUCGCAGUAUCUUCCGUUGGCAUCGACAGCACUGCGGCGAGAACGAUUGAUUACCUAUCCAAGUCUCGGUCGAGAAGGGUUUCUAAAUCCUUAUUGGUCGAGGUCAUCUCAUCAGCCUUCUUGGCGAAGUGAGGUGUUACAGUUAUUACAUUCGGCACAUUGAAAGCCGAAUUUGAUAUUGAACUUCGUAAGAAUAGUAACCUUGUCUUCAGGUUCGAGAGCCCAAGAGGCAGAGACGUGUUCCUUUCUCGGCCGCAAUCGCAAGACGCAGAAGUCAGUAGCGCGACCCAACGCAACAUCAACAAAUUUACUCCUCGGCCGAGCUUGGCCGACGAGUUGGCACGCCCCGCAUUCACCGAAGGACGUAGUUAGCUCAUUAAUUACUCGGCCUGCGCGCCACGUAGGCUUUGUAGUUUCUAGGAUCAACAUUUUGGCACGCCCAGUGGGACCUAGUGCUAUACUACGAAGUUCAUAUGCUAUAUCAAGAUUCCAAUCUGGCUCAACGUAGCCGAUUGUACGAGCUCCUGGAGGAAUUGAAAAAACAUAAUGAGGAAUGUAAAAAAUCUUUGGAAGCAGAAAAAGUUCUUCGUGGCCAUAGAGAGAUGCAAAAGUCAUUCGCUUGCAUGUUGAAAAUAAAAGCUCCUGUUAUCCUACAAGGGCAAUGGGUAAAUGAAGACAGGGCUCGAUUUAAUGCCUGGCUAGAUGAAGAAAAUUUUCCUUACGUUUCUGACUACAGAUCAAUUCCAUUUGAAAAAUGGUUAGGCCCAAAGGCCGGGGGGCAAUUUUUCGCUUCGGCCGUAAUCAGACAUCGGCCUAAGAAAAUUGUUAAUUUGGCCGAAGAGCCACCUAUUUUUUCGGUCGAGACUGAAAGUGUGGUAGGCCUAGAAGAAAAAAUUCAAGUUCUUGAGCUAGAUAUAAAAAUUGACUUGGAAAAUGAUUCGUUAGAGGAAUGCUCCAAUGACGAACGAGGCCAAGAUAUUGGCCUAGCCCAAGAAACUACGCCAAUUGAUAUGAUUAUUGGCAAUAAAGCCGAUAUGGAGAAAUCCUGUUUGGCUAAGUUGUUUGAAUUAAAAGCCGAAAUUAUGCCUGGGGGGCAUAAUAAUUGUUCAACACAUUCGGCGGCCGAGAAUGAAAAAUAUUUCACCAAGUCAAAAAUAUUUUGGAAAAAUUCUUUAUUCGGCCUAGAGCGAAAUCAAUUUGAAAAUUUUGAUGCAAAAAGAUCGCGGCUUGGAAUAAAGCAUCGUUGGCCUCCUCCUGAAUAUGGUUCGGCCACUUUUAGUUCCAUUUAGAAAAAAAAUAUAUUUUCUUAAUCAUCUGGCUACGUAAGCCGAUGCUUAAGAAAAUAAAGGGGGCACGGGUGAUAGGGUGAUAUAAUCAGCAUAUCAGAUUUAAACUUGUCGAAAGUAAGUACAUAUCAAGGAGCUGUUGCUUGCCGAGAGGGUUUUUUUUUUUAGGCCGACCUCGGCCAACUUGUCGAGAAAUAUUUUCUAAGUUAUGUAGACAUAACUUUUGAAACUGGGGUACAUUGUGAGAUGAUGUGGCGUGAAUCAUUAUUUUAGUCAUCAUUUUUAGCCGGGAACAACUGGUGGCGUGAAUCAUCGUUGAAUAUAUAUAUAUAGCCUACGACAUCACAUCAAAAUAGGCCAAAAGAAAGAUGGCAUGCAAAAACAAACGGCAGGUUCAAAAGUUUGAUGAAAAGCCACUUAUUUUAGGUUGUAGGCUUCCAUGUGGGCACACCCUCUUAUUCGGCCGAGCCAUUCGACGCAUGCUAUGGGAGGAAACAAUUUUCGGCUGUCUAGGCCGAAGCCGAGAGAAUCAGAACGAUGUUAUGGUGGAUUUUUAGGCCGAGCUAUUCGACGAGUGCUCGCAGCUUGAUGGGCAAGUGUAUCUAUAUAUAUAUAUGGCCAACUGUUUACCAAGCACGACUAACGUGAGGAUCGUUAAGGGUAAAAUGGUGGCAGCCGAAAAAUCAGCCGAGUCGACAGCAUGUGUGGUUGAAAUGCAUAUGGUAAAUAUAUGUUGUUAUGCGUGGCUCGGUGGGUGAGGAUCAUCAAGGGUGCAUGGUCGUAGAAUCUGCGCAAUUAGAUUCUACAUGCAGUCAAGCUUGAAGAUGCAUGAGCCAAACCGUAGUUUCGUCGCACAAAUUAAUUGUAUAUGCACGAUCGGGUUUUAUGAGUGUACCUCGACUUCGAGCAAGUAGUUUCCUUUGUUGAGAUUGUUUUUCGGCCUUGGAGUGUUAUUUGGACUGAGGGGUGGUCGAGGUGGUCUAUUAAGGGGCUUGAAGUCGGUGACUCCGAAGAGCAAAUUAAUUUCCUUAACCAUUCGGCUUGCGAGCCGAAGCUCAAGGAAACUGGGGGGCAAUGUUUGGACCCAAAUUUACACCAUCGGCCCAAGUAAUCGAGGCCGUUGAGUGAGCAUAGCUCUCAACCGUCGGAUCGGAAUAGUUAAGAUAAUUAUUAUUGAAGGAUAUACUGUGGUUUUAAUCAUGAUAUAUCUUUUAAUAAUAUAUCAAUUUAUCUAAACUAAAUAUGAUCAAUAUCACGGUGUUUGUUUGAAAUCAAACUUUGCAUAGGAUAAGGAUGAAAUUGAAAUAGUGAUAGGGUCAGAAUGGCUUUUGGGAUUAGCCAAAGACCUACAAGCUUGCUGUACACGUGGGUUAUCAUUAGCAAUGGCUGAUGAGGUGGCGGCUUUUAAUUUUGCAUGCAGCAAAUAAGGAAUUCUAUUAGGAUUCUAUCUUUGGCUAACGCAUGGAGGAGAUGAUAAUGAUUAUCUAUGGUUCCAUGCAAUUUAGAAAUCUAUCAGGAUACAUGUGAUGACUUCCAGCUGGCCAACGAGUGAUGAGGGGACAAUUAUCCUAAUGCAAUUGCGCGUAUAGGAUAAUCAACAAGAUUAAGUAAUGAUUAUUCUACCUAAUAUUCCAAGAAUCGUGUGAGGGCGAGGCAGUUCAUUCUUAUAAAUACAGAGUCACGGCACAUUGAGGAAGCCCCCACAAAAUCAAUACAAAAUUGCCCUGCGCAAACUCUCACAACUUGUGAUUUUUCUUUUUCCUUUUUCGCUGACACAUCUUCCGUUGGCAUCAAC
rnacentral:lncRNA from 1 species